CACAGGACUUGGCUGGUCAGGUUAUGUUUUCUCUCUCUCUCUCUCUCUCUCUCUCUCUCUCUCUCUCUCUCUCUCUCUCUCUCUCUCUCUCUCUCUCUCUCUCUCCCUCUCUCUCUCCCUCUCUCUCUCUCUUCUCUCUCUCUCUCUCUCUCUCUCUCUGGUUGCUACACUCAGUUCUUUGAGGAGCAUAACCAAUAAUGAAGCUAAAUGCAAAGGUUAAAUUAAAUUAAAAGAGGGCAAUAAAAAUCUUGAGGAAAAAACAAUAAAAAUGCAAUGGUUACGUCAACAACUUAUUAAAAUUCAUCAAAACUUACUACAAGUGAGUAGAAACAAUAAAAAUUAGAGGAAGUAUGUAAGUUAUCAAAUAAAACUUAUUUCAUAUAAUAUCUUAAAUUAUGCAUAUUACAAACAUAAAUACUAAAUACAAAUGAUGGCAGUGUUACAUGGAAAUAUCAACAAGGCAAGCCCUGAGACAUGAACCCUGGCGUGUCUGAGUGUUUGUUGGCGGUGUAAGAAGCAAGCGGCAAAAAAUUGGUGAGUGCAGGGAGUGUUUGGCAAGCAGUGCCUUGUCAGUGACCCAAUCACACAAUCACCCACACACACACAAUCAUCUACACACUCAGUCAACUGAGUACUGAGCCAACCAGUCAGCCAAGUACCCAGCCAGCAAGUUGGUACACCCAGCCACCAGCCAGCUUGGUACUUGGCCAAACUCCCAGCCAGUCCAGUCACUCCCCCAGCCAGCCACUUACCAGUCAAGUGUUCAGCAAACCUGUAAGUCAGACGCCCAGCCAGCCCGUCAGCUGGUCAGCCAAUUAAUACGUACCUGCACUUUACAGAUAACAGCCCUUCUUUUUCCCUCUGAAUCAAAAUGUGUGUGUGUGUGUGUGUGUGUGUGUAUAUUUACCUAGUUGUGGUAUACGGGAGAGGAACUACGCUUGUACUGUCCCGUCUCUCAUAUAAACUAUAAUUCAAUUUGGCCUCAAAUUCAUGAAUUAUCUUUGAGUGGACCACAGCUUUUUCCAGGCCAUUCCAGGCCUCCACCACUCUUUGUGGAAAGAUGUUCAUUAUGUCUCUUCUACAAACUUCCUUCUUCAUCUUUCUUCUGUGACUGCUUGAUUGAUUGAUUGAGUGUGUGUGUGUGUGUGUGUGUGUGUGUGUGUGUGUUAUUCACCAUGGCCUGAUUACGAGUUGGACUCGCAAUCGCCAGCAAGUACCCUCGGUCGAUCUCUGGGUGCUACUGGGACCUUCACACACCACACACCCCAUCCCCCUUGCUCAAAGGGGAACAGUAACUACUCCUUGUUAGCGGAAAAAUCCCAGCCUGAGUGGGGCCCGAACCUCUGCCUCCCAGGCUGAGAAGUCUGGCAGUGCAGAGCUUUAACAACUGAGCUAUGGAACAGUGAGUGUGUUUGUGUGUGUGUGUGUGUGUGUGUGUGUGUGUGUAAUUGCUUGCAUGUGUGCUUUACUAUUACUGCAGCUAGAAUCCCAUGAAAUCAAGAAAGAAUCAGGACAAUGGUGAAGCUAACGUGGACAAACGGGAACAUGACAGGGAAGCGACAGAAAGGAGUGAGUUGGACGAGGAAAUUGAUUGGAGAAUUAAGCCCUGAAGGAACACAAAAUGUUGAGAUGAAAGUCUGAUGACUAGAACCACCUAAUAAUAAUAAUAAUAAUAAAAAAAAAAAAAUAAUAAUAAUAAUAAUAAUAUACAAAAUCAGCCUUCCCUUUUUCCACCUCCUGCAGGGUGGGGAGUAAUUAAUACAACAAUAUUAUAUAUCCACAAUAGCAGAUCAAGUUGUGCUGGAAUAAACCUAUCGUAGGGUAACACAAUGAAAUGUAGGAGAAAACAACUGUACAAAUAAAUCAUAACAAAAGAACAAUAAUAAAAAAUGAUUCAUCUACCAAUGCAACGCAAGCCUACGUCAGCCUGGCCUAACCUUAAACAAGACAAAAUAACACAAAUAACACAAGAUACAACCUGUGGCAAUUAUCGGCAUUUGACAAAAAAUAAAAAUAUGCAACACAAGACAGAAUAACUCGCCGGCGCGGACCGACAGACAGACUCACUACCCGGCCAACCCUCGCACUAUAACUAUGUACAAACUUGUGCUUCUGUGACCUACUCUUGGUUCGGCCUACUAAUAAUGGCUUAGUGUUUAUCUGUAGUAGUUCUUUCUUGUAUCACAUUUCAGCACCAGUGAACAGUGUGUGGAAGAUCUAUUGUUGGGUGGAUGGACAAUGAUGUGAAGCACUCGACAGGCGUCACUGAGUGUUACCAGUGUUAGCAGAUUAUCCUACUCAGCACAUUGUAUUUUCCAGUUUUUGACCCACAACUAUUGCAAAAAAUACAUCUAUAAUUAAUGGUUUUAACAAUAACUUCCAUUGAAUAUCAUUAUUUGUGUAGGUACUCGAGUUUUGGGACUGCAACCAUACUCAGCACAUUGUAUUUUUCACUUUUUGACCCAUAGCUAUUGCCAAUACCCAUCAAUAAUUAACAGUUUCAACAAUAACUUCAACUGAGUACCGUUUUUUGUGUGGGUAUGACAGUUUUGGGUCUGAAAUCUUACUCGGCACAAUAUAUUUACCGACUCAUAACUAUCGCAAACAACCAUCAAUGAUUAACGGUUUCAACAAUAACUUCAAGUGAGUACCGUUUUUUGUGUGGGUAUGACAGUUUUGGGUCUGAAAUCUUACUUGGCACAAUAUAUUUACCGACUCAUAACUAUCGCAAACAACCAUCAAUGAUUAACAGUUUCAACAAUAACUUCAACUGAGUACCGUUCUUUGUGUGGGUAUGACAGUUUGGGGUCUGAAAUUUUACUCGGCACAAUAUAUUUACCGACUCGUAACUAUCGCAAACAACCAUCAAUGAUUAACAGUUUCAACAACAACUUCAACUGAGUACCAUUUUUUGUGCGUUUGAUACAAUCUGGGUCUGAGUACGAUAAUCUGGUAAUGCUGAGUUUCGCCCUUUGUGUCUUCUACAGUAAUGAUAUCGUGAAAGAAAUUGAUGGGCAGGUUUUCAUGUUGUCCUCUACGCUAAACAUUACCUCUACGGUGAGAACUAUUGUGUGUGUGCAAGGAACUGUUUGACGGGAUGAGAACCGCUGGCUGCCUCGGGGGACAUGACAAACAAAUGCAUCUCUGGAUCCUUUCUACGAGUCUAUAAGCGAAGAAUGUCAAUAAUAUCCGAGUCUGUAAUCUUUCAAUGAAACUCGAUAUAUUUCAUGAGUCAGAUGAAGUGCUCUCUGUACAGCAAGUUUGGGCAUGAAUAAAUUA